rnacentral:rRNA from 1 species
UACGGGGGGAGCAAGCGUUGUUCGGAUUUACUGGGCGUAAAGGGCGCGUAGGUGGCGCCGUAAGUCGGGUGUGAAAUUUCGGAGCUUAACUCCGAAACUGCAUUCGAUACUGCGGUGCUUGAGGACUGGAGAGGAGACUGGAAUUCAUGGUGUAGCAGUGAAAUGCGUAGAGAUCAUGAGGAACACCGAUGGCGAAGGCAGGUCUCUGGGCUGACACUGACGCUCAUGCACGAAAGCGUGGGGAGCAAACAGG